AUGGAGAGGGUUACUCCGCAAUGCGUUGAGAACCGAAACCUCGUAAGAGCCCUACCAGAAGACUUAUCUUGUGAACAAUUAUCGGAUUGCACUGAGCCAACAGCUACUGUGACUAUCUAUCAACCUGAAAAUACCAUCAAUGAGUGUGAUGUAGACCGUUCUCCACAACCCCCUUUUCAGUGGGCAGGCAGACGACCAGACACCUAGCCACAUCCCAUUCAGGGCCAAACAGAGGAUUGCAAAUCCCUGUAAUCUGUGGGAGGGGGAAGUUUAGGCCGCAAGCCAUAUGUGAGAGGGAGGCUGAGUCACUUGAAGACUCGACCCUCCUCUGACCUGUGUGCUAUCCCUAGGCACAUCGGCGACAGGGCUUCAAAUAGCUCCCCUCCUACUCUGGUGCUGGUGAAUGCUAGGUCAGUGCGGAAUAAGAUCAAUACCAUCAGGGACUUCAUUAUUGAAAGUGGGGCUGACUUAGCAUGUAUCACAGAAACCUGGUUGCAGGAGGGCGAUGAGGUCCUCCUCCGGGAAUUAUCAUCUCCAGAUUUUGUUAUCACCCACCAGAUGUGGACCGGGAGACGGGGGUGGGGGGGUGGGGGGUGGAGUGGCAAUGCUCGCACGAGAAAAUUUAUCUCUGAGGGCGGCUCCCACUCUGAACAUCUCUGGUAUGGAAAGCGUUGGCCUUGUGUGGGAUUCAGAGGAGAGUAUAGCCUUUCUACUGGUGUACCGUGCGCCUAAUGCACCAGUGGACAGCCUAUCACAGCUGCUAGAGGUUGUGUCGGAGUGGGCCUUGAGGUUCCCCAGGCUUAUUGUUUUGGGGGACUUCAAUGUCCAUGCUGAUGCAGGCUCCUUCUCCUCAGCAGCUGAAGACCUAGUGUCGACCAUGGCGACACUAGGACUCUCACUUUAUAAUACUGGGCCUACACAUCAGGCUGGCCACACACUAGAUUUGAUCUUUGGGGUUGGAAUCCAAGUGACCCUAACCUCCGUUUUGGAGGUUCCAUGGUCGGACCACUGCGCCCUAGAAAUCCGUAUAGAGCACACCAACCCACCCAACCUGGGCGCCGAACCUAUCUGGGUUCGCCCGAAGAGACUAAUGGAACCGGUCAGGUUCCUGAAUGCUCUAAAGGCCAUAGAACCUGUCAGCGACUCACUGGAGGUGCAAGUGGAUACAUGGAACACCAAAUUAUCCAAUGCACUCGAUGAGAUUGCACCUAGACACCUUCUCCGACCCCGUAAGAAUCAGUCUCCUUGGUUCACUGAGGAGCUCCGUGCGAUGAAACGGGAGAAGAGACAGCUAGAGGUCAUGUGGCGGGAACGCCGUGAUGAGGAAUCGGAAUCAGCUUAUAAGAAGUCCAGAGAGUCUUAUGAGCAGACUAUCACCGAGGCAAAAAAGUCGUAUUAUGCUUCCUUGAUAGCGUCUGCGAGCUCACACCCAGCACAAUUAUUUAAGAUCAUUAGAUCCCUGACAAAGGUCCCUUCUAUUCCAAACAAUAAUGACCUGGCUCCUUCUGCUGAGGUUUUCCAGAGCUAUUUUGCAGACAAGAUCUCGCUUCUUCGCCGGGAACUCCCUGCCACGAUGGAUACAGUAACUGAACUUGAGAUUCCGUGGCCACUCUCUGAGCCCAUCCUGGACCGGUUUACCCCGCUGGAUGCAGAGGCUGUCGACAGGAUCAUGACUGCAGCUAGGCCUACCACCUGCUCCCUCGAUCCGUGUCCCUCCUGGCUAGUAAAAUCCUGCCUAGAUGGAUUACGUGAACCUCUGUUGAAUAUA
ensembl:lncRNA